rnacentral:lncRNA from 1 species
CUUUUUUCCCUCAUUCAUUUGUCUCUCUCGACUCUCUUUCUGCAAACCCAUAGCUUGCCAAGCCGCCACCCCUCAAGGCUCAAGCUCACCAGUCGGCAGUCACCACCAGUUCUCCGCCAUUCGCUUCUGUAUUCACGUCAAUAUUUACUUACUCACAAUACAUCACUAAAGGGAGGAUAAUACCAGUUACUAAAAGGAGGAUAGUUGGAUCAACAAGGUAAUAGCUGUCUAUUUGAAUAGGUGUGGUAAAGCUUUUCUGUAACUACUUAAGCAAGAGCAGUUACCUUGAUUAUAUAAUACACUUUCAAUUUCGGCAUUAUCUAGUAGAUGUAUUUUUGGUUCUUCCGCUCUCCUCACUCAUUUAUAUGUUUCGCAUGUGACUCUGUGUAAAUGUCUCUCAAUAAGUAUAAGUGUUUUUUUAUUUUUUAAAAAAAAUGUACAAUUGUUGUUUUUCUUAGUUUUCCUUUUUUCUUCAAUGCAUCUUGCAAAUCUGAUGAAUUCCCAAUCUGAUUUCAAGAUUUGAAUUUUCAAAUGAAACUGCUGCAUCUAUUUUCAUUAGGUCGUUGUCAUUGAAAAUUGCUGUUCAGAUUGGAAAGCACAAAAUAAAAGUUUUCUAGUCUAGCUUGUGACUUGGAGCCAUGUGCCUGUUCAUAAACUGAGAAAGAACACGCUAACCCUCUGAUCUUAAGAACGUGACAAUAAUCAAGUAUGUUUACUUUUCCUUAUUACAUGUGAGGCCUUAUAUUUGUAUAUCCUAAUAGCAUCCCUGCCAUUACCAGGUUCUUAAGGUCUGGUGUUUAUAGUUCUGUUUUAUAUUUAUGUUUGCACUACUAUUUUUUCUGCCACCGUUGUAUGUUCAGUUGGUUGAAGUUGCAGCACUUUUAAGUUUAGUUUUAUCUUAUCGGGUAAACCGAUAACCGAACCGAUAAUGAUCAAUAACCGAUAAGCCGAUAACCGAUAACUAAUAUCUUAUCGGNNNNNNNNNNNNNNNNNNNNNNNNNNNNNNNNNNNNNNNNNNNNNNNNNNNNNNNNNNNNNNNNNNNNNNNNNNNNNNNNNNNNNNNAUAUCUUAUCGGUUUGGUUAUCGGGUUAUGAUAUUUGUAAACCGAUAAUCGAUAGGCAAAACCGAUAAUUUUCAAAACCGAACCGAACCGACCGAUACCCACCCCUAUUGGGAGCAUCGAGGGUUGGGAGUGAUUCAGAGAUGGUUCGGGGUGAUUUUCACUUAGAGAAAAACAGGUUCAGGGUUGCAGAUACCAGCGCGGCCGCGGUCAUUUCCGCGCGGUCCGCGCUGGCGACGCGCGACCGCGGUCAUUUCCGCGCGGUCCGCGCUGGCGCCGCGCGACCGCGAUGCUUUUCUGUGCGGUCCCCGUGUCUGAGUCUGAGGCUAGGAAUUUCGGGUUAACCAGCGCGGCCACGCACCAAAACAGUGCGGUCCGCGCUGGGAGGGUUCAGAGGAGCCCCAAUUUUUUCCCCCCACUCGGCGUGGCCGCAACACAUUUCUGUGCGGUCCGCGCCAGGUCCUCAGAAAGGUAUAAAAAGUUCGAAAACUUAGCCAUUUUUUAACUUUUCAAAAAACCCAAAACCUAAAAGGCGAUUUUCCAAACGAUUUUGCUCCUUCUAAACGUAGAUGGGAUUUUGGGUGGAACCUAAGUCUUUCAGAAUUUGGGGAGUUGGACCCCAAUUGGAGGUCCGAUUUCAAAACCAAUUAUAUAUUUGGAUUCACAGGGGAAUGGAUAAUCGGGUUUUGGUUCAAACCUCGGGUUUUAACCACGUGGGUUCGGGGGCAUUUUGGGAAUUUUGGGCAAAAUUUUUGAAAAUUCAUUCUUAUGCAUUCAAAUUGAUUUAACUAGCAUUUAUUGAUACGUUUGAGUAACUUGUGACUAGAUUCGAGCAGUUUUGUGGCGAAUUCAAGGGGCAAAGCUAUCCUAGAGGCGUGAGUUGAGUUUCGAGCUUUCGAGCUAAGUGUUUGAUCUAACUUUGGCUUGAGGGAAUAUGAUUAGGAUGUUAUUUGUUAUAUGCUAUGUGGAGUCAGUGUAUAGGCAUGUUGACGGUUAUCUACGCACCCGAGUCUAGCAUGACCGUAGGUCUUUAAUUGCGUUAUUUUGCAUAACAUGAUAUAAAUUAUGGUUUGAAUUGAUUUAGUUCACAUGAUAUGGACGGUUGAGGAUAAAUGAGGAUUUCAUAUAAUUUUGGAGCAUUGGCUUGACUUAGAACUUGUUAAUAGCUAACGUGUUUAGAAGUGGAAAUUAUGUGAUCAUUUCUCUCUUGGGACGUAAUUAUAUAUAUAGAAUUCUCCCUUGCCGGGAUAUUUGAGCUGUUAGUUAUAUUCCCUCGUAGGGACUCUUGUAUCUUGAUGUUACUCCCCUCGCACUUGAGUUGCGAAUGAUGUUGGGUGAGUCUUGUUGGUAAAUAUCGGAAGGGACGGGUUGCAUGCCGCAUCACUAACAAAUAUAAAUAUCGAAAGGGUCGGGUUGAGCGCCGCAGCACGAACAAAUAUGAACAUCAGAAGGGUCGGAUUGCACGCUGCAACGGAGUAUGAAUCAAGUAUGUUGUUUUUGUUUUGUAUGUGGGAUUUUUCCUGUGUUUUCCCUUAUUAGUUGUUGGUGUACGACUUUACCUUUUAUCUUAUGAUUUCUGUAUUUAAACUGUCAUACACCAUAUCAUGCUUCCCUCCCUUUUAAUUGUUUAAAUUUAUGUAUCCUCUUCUAUUUCCUAUAUAUGUUGAAUGCACAGGUUUAUGUGGUAGUCCUGUCUAGCCUCGUCACUACUUCGCCGAGGUUAGGCCAGGCACUUACCAGCACAUGUGAUCGGUUGUGCUGAUUCUACACUCUGCGCUCUUUUGCGCAGAUACAGGAUUUGGUUGGCAGUAGCAGUAGCGGAGAAGGUGUUACCAUUCUAAGCCGGGAGACACCGAGGUAGCUUGCAGGCUUCCGUAUGCACAACGUCUUCUCUAUCCUUACUUUAUCCUGUUGUCCCAUUAUAUUCGGAACAAACAUUUAUAUGUAUUUUCUUUCAGAUUGAUGCUUUUAGUACUCAUUAGUAAUCCGUGAGUGGUGACACCAGAUACUGGGUAGAGACAUAUUUUAAACUACCGCAUAUUUUAAGUACAGUUUAUCCCAUUGUUUUAGAUAAAGCCUUUUUGUGAAAUGUGUAAAAAGGUUGGCUUGCCU